GAUGAACGCUAGCGGGAGGCUUAACACAUGCAAGUCGAACGGGAUCCGAGGUAGCAAUACUUUGGUGAGAGUGGCGCACGGGUGCGUAACGCGUAUGCAACCUACCUUUAACAGGGGAAUAGCCCCGAGAAAUCGGGAUUAAUACUCCGUAACAUUGCGAUGUGGCAUCACAUUGCAAUUAAAGAUUCAUCGGUUAAAGAUGGGCAUGCGUGACAUUAGCUAGUUGGUGAGGUAACGGCCCACCAAGGCAACGAUGUCUAGGGGUCCUGAGAGGGUUAUCCCCCACACUGGUACUUGAGACACGGACCAGACUCCUACGGGUGGCAG
rnacentral:rRNA from 1 species